UACGUAUGGUGCAAGCGUUAUCCGGAAUGACUGGGUGUAAAGGGAGCGUAGACGGCCAGACAAGUCUGAAGUGAAAAUCCAGCGCUUAACGCUGGAAGUGCUUUGGAAACUGCCGGGCUGGAGUGCAGGAGGGGCAGGCGGAAUUCCUAGUGUAGCGGUGAAAUGCGUAGAUAUUAGGAGGAACACCAGUGGCGAAGGCGGCCUGCUGGACUGCAACUGACGUUGAGGCUCGAAGGCGUGGGGAGCAAACAGG
rnacentral:rRNA from 1 species